rnacentral:rRNA from 1 species
AGGGUUUGAUCAUGGCUCAGAACGUACGCUGGCGGCACGCCUAACACAUGCAAGUCGAACGAAGUAGCAAUACUUAGUGGCAGACGGGUGAGUAACAUGUGGGUAUCUGCCCUUUGGCCUGGAAUAACACGAGGAAACUUGUGCUAAUACUGGAUAAGUCUUUACGGAGAAAGCUUUAUGCACCAUUGGAUGAGCCCGCACUUGAUUAGUUUGUUGGUGGGGUAAUGGCCUACCAAGACUUUGAUCAAUAGCUGAUUUGAGAGGAUGAUCAGCCACAUUGGGACUGAGACACGGCCCAAACUCCUACGGGAGGCAGCAGUGGGGAAUCUUGCACAAUGGAGGAAACUCUGAUGCAGCGAUGCCGCGUGAGUGAAGAAGGCCCUUGGGUUGUAAAGCUCUUUCGUCGGGGAAGAAAAUGACUGUACCCGAAUAAGAAGGUCCGGCUAACUUCGUGCCAGCAGCCGCGGUAAUACGAAGGGACCUAGCGUAGUUCGGAAUUACUGGGCUUAAAGAGUUCGUAGGUGGUUGAAAAAGUUGGUGGUGAAAUCCCAGAGCUUAACUCUGGAACUGCCAUCAAAACUUUUCAGCUAGAGUUUGAUAGAGGAAAGCAGAAUUUCUAGUGUAGAGGUGAAAUUCGUAGAUAUUAGAAAGAAUACCAAUUGCGAAGGCAGCUUUCUGGAUCAUUACUGACACUGAGGAACGAAAGCAUGGGUAGCGAAGAGGAUUAGAUACCCUCGUAGUCCAUGCCGUAAACGAUGUGUGUUAGACGUUGGAAAUUUAUUUUCAGUGUCGCAGCGAAAGCGAUAAACACACCGCCUGGGGAGUACGACCGCAAGGUUAAAACUCAAAUGAAUUGACGGGGACCCGCACAAGUAGUGGAGCAUGUGGUUUAAUUCGAAGAUACGCGCAGAACCUUACCAACACUUGACAUGUUCGUCGCGACUUUAAGAGAUUAAAGUUUUCGGUUCGGCCGGACGAAACACAGGUGCUGCAUGGCUGUCGUCAGCUCGUGUCGUGAGAUGUUGGGUUAAGUCCCGCAACGAGCGCAACCCCUACUUUUAGUUGCCACCAUUUAGUUGGGCACUUUAAAAGAACUGCCAGUGAUAAGCUGGAGGAAGGUGGGGAUGACGUCAAGUCCUCAUGGCCCUUACGUGUUGGGCUACACACGUGCUACAAUGGCACUUACAAUGGGAAGCAAAGAGGUGACUCCUAGCUAAUCCCAAAAAUGUGUCUCAGUUCGGAUUGCACUCUGCAACUCGAGUGCAUGAAGCUGGAAUUGCUAGUAAUCGCGAAUCAGCGCGUCGCGGUGAAUACGUUCCCGGGUCUUGUACACACCGCCCGUCACACCAUGGAAGUUGGUUACACCUUAAGGCAAAUCGUCAACCUUCGGGAGACAUUUGACUACGGUACGAUCAGCAACUGGGGUGAAGUCGUAACAAGGUAGCCGUA